AAUCCCCUAGGGGACGCCACUUGCUGGUUCGUGAGUGAAAGACGCGUGCCGAACUAUCUCAAAACUCAUCUUCGGGUGACGUUUGAGAUAUUUGCUCUUUAAAAAUCUGGAUCAAGCUGAAAAUUGAAACGACACACAGUCGCAAGACCAAAGUGGGGGACCUUCGGGCCUCAUGCCAUCAGAUGUGCCCAGAUGGGAUUAGCUAGUAGGUGGGGUAACGGCUCACCUAGGCGACGAUCCCUAGCUGGUCUGAGAGGAUGACCAGCCACACUGGAACUGAGACACGGUCCAGACUCCUACGGGAGGCAGCAGUGGGGAAUAUUGCACAAUGGGCGCAAGCCUGAUGCAGCCAUGCCGCGUGUGUGAAGAAGGCCUUCGGGUUGUAAAGCACUUUCAGCGGGGAGGAAGGCGUUGAGGUUAAUAACCUUGUCGAUUGACGUUACCCGCAGAAGAAGCACCGGCUAACUCCGUGCCAGCAGCCGCGGUAAUACGGAGGGUGCAAGCGUUAAUCGGAAUUACUGGGCGUAAAGCGCACGCAGGCGGUCUGUCAAGUCGGAUGUGAAAUCCCCGGGCUCAACCUGGGAACUGCAUUCGAAACUGGCAGGCUAGAGUCUUGUAGAGGGGGGUAGAAUUCCAGGUGUAGCGGUGAAAUGCGUAGAGAUCUGGAGGAAUACCGGUGGCGAAGGCGGCCCCCUGGACAAAGACUGACGCUCAGGUGCGAAAGCGUGGGGAGCAAACAGGAUUAGAUACCCUGGUAGUCCACGCCGUAAACGAUGUCGAUUUGGAGGUUGUGCCCUUGAGGCGUGGCUUCCGGAGCUAACGCGUUAAAUCGACCGCCUGGGGAGUACGGCCGCAAGGUUAAAACUCAAAUGAAUUGACGGGGGCCCGCACAAGCGGUGGAGCAUGUGGUUUAAUUCGAUGCAACGCGAAGAACCUUACCUGGUCUUGACAUCCACAGAACUUUCCAGAGAUGGAUUGGUGCCUUCGGGAACUGUGAGACAGGUGCUGCAUGGCUGUCGUCAGCUCGUGUUGUGAAAUGUUGGGUUAAGUCCCGCAACGAGCGCAACCCUUAUCCUUUGUUGCCAGCGGUUCGGCCGGGAACUCAAAGGAGACUGCCAGUGAUAAACUGGAGGAAGGUGGGGAUGACGUCAAGUCAUCAUGGCCCUUACGACCAGGGCUACACACGUGCUACAAUGGCAUAUACAAAGAGAAGCGACCUCGCGAGAGCAAGCGGACCUCAUAAAGUAUGUCGUAGUCCGGAUUGGAGUCUGCAACUCGACUCCAUGAAGUCGGAAUCGCUAGUAAUCGUAGAUCAGAAUGCUACGGUGAAUACGUUCCCGGGCCUUGUACACACCGCCCGUCACACCAUGGGAGUGGGUUGCAAAAGAAGUAGGUAGCUUAACCUUCGGGAGGGCGCUUACCACUUUGUGAUUCAUGACUGGGGUGAAGUCGUAACAAGGUAACCGUAGGGGAACCUGCGGU
rnacentral:rRNA from 1 species